rnacentral:rRNA from 1 species
GACGAACCGUGCGAACGUUGUUCGGAAUCACUGGGCGUAAAGGGUGCGUAGGCGGGUCUUUUAAGUCAGGGGUGAAAUCCUGGAGCUCAACUCCAGAACUGCCUUUGAUACUGAAGAUCUUGAGUUCGGGAGAGGUGAGUGGAACUGCGAGUGUAGAGGUGAAAUUCGUAGAUAUUCGCAAGAACACCAGUGGCGAAGGCGGCUCACUGGCCCGAUACUGACGCUGAGGCACGAAAGCGUGGGGAGCAAACAGG